AUAGAUAGAUUAUAAUACAUCGUUGUGACCUAUGCUGUCUAAUACUGCCACAGUUCAGUAUACCUUAAGCAAUCAGUACCUUUAUUAAACAUAUGUUUAGCUAGUGAGAUUGGUAAUAUAGUCCUUCAGUAAAGCAGGUUUUUUUCAGAUGUGUGAAGGCUUGAGGUUUGGUGGAAGAACUGGUGCAGGAUUUCAGUGAGAAGAGAACAUGAAGUGGUUUGUGUUUCAUCUCUGACCAUUAUUCAGUGUCUGCUUCCACUUUCUGCAAGAUUAUUGUUAACUUACAGAGUUUAGGGUGUACUGUUUGGACAUGGAAGGAUGUUUUCACUACACUAACCCCAUCACAAAAAGCCGAUGCACUAUUCCUCACAUAAUUGUAGACUGUCAUUCUUUGCUGGUAAUGCUUGACUGUGUUGUGCACAAGGGUGUUCAUAGUUGUGUUACUGCCUGGUAUUGAAAACACAGAGAUGCACAAUUUUUGGGCAAGCAGCAAUUCAAAGGGGGAUAUAUCUGUAAUGAUACAUGGCAUAACCCAAUAAUUCAUCAGGACUUCCAUAAUGUCAUGUCAAUGCCGGAAUCAGCAUUUAACUACAACUCCCAUAAUACCACGUGACCUACAAACAUGGCCGCCAUGGACUCCAACUCUCCUGAUUACUAAUCACAGACACCUGGACUCAAUCAUGCCCCACAGUACUUUAGGACUCUUACUCAGUUCAUUCCUUGCAAAGUAUAUGCUGUGUGUUCACAUACCAGUUGUUACCAAACCUUGUAUUUUGUCAUAGUCUUUUCUUUGUCAUAGAAAGUUUUUCAAUUCAAUUCAGUUUUAUUUGUAUAGUGCUUUUAACUUUUAAUGGACAUUGUCACAAUUGGACAUUGUCAUAUUGUAAAUAUGUGAAUUUAUCCCUAAUGGGGAAGUCAGAGGCGAUGGUGGCAAGGAAAAACUCCCUGAGACAUUAUGAAGAAGAAACCUUGAGAGGAACCAGUCUCAAAAGGGAACCAAUCCUCAUCUGGGUGCAACGGAUAGUGCAAUUAUAAAUAAAUCCCUUCUAUUAUUGUGUACUAUAUGUACAAAUAGUCCAAAUGUGCUACCAGUAAAUUCAUCACAGUUUUCGCAAGAAGUCUGAUUGGUUAAAAUCUAUCCAUUGUCCACUGAUGGAGUCCUGAGUACGAAGCUGCUUGUGGCAACCGCAGCCCCAAAGCCACUACAAUAAUCACAGUCCCAAGCCAUCACAGUACAGCUCCCCAUAUGAGAUCCCCAAGCCAUCUCCACAGCCCCCAGGUGGCACCAUUCCCAGCAAUCCACACGGUUCUUCAGGCCACCCAUAAUCCUUGAUUUUUAAACCCAAAAAUUUGUUCUAAUACUAUUCUAAUUUGGUGUAAAAACUGCAACCCUAGCAACCCUGGACAUACAUACCAGAAUACAAAUUUAUACUUACACAUAGUGUGCCCUGAUAUGGACUGGCAUCCCAUCUGGGGUGACUUCUCCUGCCUUGCGCUGUGUUACUGGGAUAGACUCCCGAUCCACCACAACUCUGACCAGGAUAAAGCAGUAACUUAAAGGAACACAGCAUUUCUUAGUUUGAGUAAUGUUUUCUGUCCCUAUAUAUAUAUAUAUAUAUAUAUAUAUAUAUACACAUAAUACAGCUUUGUGACUUAUGCUGUCUAAUACUGCCACAGUUCAGUAUACCUUAAAGAUUUCAGUGAGAAGAGAACAUGAAGUGGUUUGUGUUUCACCUCUGAUCAUCAUUCAGUGUCUGCUGCCACUUAGGGUGUUUAGGGUGUACCAUUUGGAAAUGGAAGGAUGUUUUCACUACACUAACCCCAUCACAAAAAGCAGAUGCACUAUUCCUCACAUAAUUGUAGACUGUCAUUCUUUGCUGGUAAUGCUUGACUGUGUUGUGCACAAGGGUGUGUAUAGUUGGGUUACUGCCUGGUAUUGAAAACACAGAGAUGCACAAGUUUUGGCAAGCAGCAAUUCAAAGGGGAAUAUAUCUGAAAUGAUACAUGGCAUGCAAUGAUACAUAACUCAGUAAUUCAUCAGGACUUCCAUGAUAAUGUCAUGUCAACGCCGGAAUCAGCAUCGAACUACAACUCCCAUAAUAGCACACGGCCUACAAACAUGGCCGCCAUGGACUCCGACACCCAUCACGCAAGUUCCAACUCACAUGAUUACUAAUCACAGACACCUAGACUCAAUGACACUCCACAAUACUGUAGGACUCUCACCCAAUUCGUUCAUGGCAAAGUAUAUGAUGUGUGUUCACAUACCAGUUGUUACCAAACCUUGUAUUUUGUCAUAGUCUUUUCUGGUUUAGAUCUUGUUUCUGGCUUCUUUGUUUUUGUUCUUUGCCUAGCCCAGUUUAUACUGUUGGCACUUCGCCUGACCAUUACCUGUUCUCUGACCUUGUUUUUGUCUCAUGGUUUGGAUCUGUCUGCAAGCUUUAUAAAUAAAGUUUUUCAAUUCAAUUCAAUUUAAAGUGAAUUUAUCCCUAAUAAACAAGCCAGAGGUGACGGUGACGGCAAGGAAAAACUCCCUGAGACAAUUUGAGGAAGAACCCUUGAGAGGAACCAGACUCAAAAGGGAACCCAUCCUCAUCUGGGUGCAACGGAUAGUGCAAUUAUAAAUAAAUCCCUUCUAUUAUCGUGUACUAUAUGGACAAAUAGUGCAAAUGUGCAACCUGUAAAUUCAUCACAACUUAUCGACUGUCCACUGAUGUCCCGAGUAUGAAGCUGCUUGUGGCAACCGCAGCCCCAAAGCCACCACAGCAAUCGCAGUCCCAAGCCGUCACUGUACAGCUCCCCAUAUGAGAUCUUCAAGCCAUCUCCACAGCCCCCAGGUGGCACCAUACCCAGCAAUCCAAAUGGUUCUUCAGGCCGCCCAUAUGGGGCCACCCCCAGCAGCAGCAAGCGAUCUCAACCCGAUGAGAACUCCAACCAGAAGUAGGGCAUCAGGAUGGGUCAGGCAGGUCUGGAGAGCAGAAGGGGUCAGGAUCACUGGGAUCUCAGGAGUAGCAUGUGUAGCUCGACAGAGAGAGAGGGAGAGAGAGGGAGAGAUUGUUAGGUAAGCUUUUGUCCUCUAAUGGUUAAGGAGAAUGUACUUUGUGUGCAGAGUGCUAGCAGGGACUCCAGAAGAUUAGCUAUGACAGCAUAACUAAAAGGGAGAGCCAGAAGCUAACACAGACAUGAGGGCACCCUGGUACAUAAGGCAGCCAGCCACUCCACAGCAUGGGGGCCACAGCAUCCAAACAUCCCAGUUCACCACAAAACUCUAUGCCUGUGAACCCUCCAGACCCACUCCUUUACCUAAGAAAAACUAUUCACAAAAGGCUUGACUAAACAAAUAUGUUUUCAGCCUAGACUUAAACACUGAGACUGUGUGUGAGACCUGAACACUAAGUGGAAGGCUGUUCGAUAACUGUGGGGCUUUGUAAGAGAGAGCCCUACCCUAACGUGUAGCCCUCACCAUUUGAGGUACCAACGAAUAGCCUGCACUUCUGGUCUAAAUAUUCGUGGCAGAUCAUAAAAGACCAAAGGUUUGCUUGGGUACUGUGGCGUGAGACCAUUUAGUGAUUUAUAUUUUAUAAUCAAUACAAAAUUUGAUUGGGAGCCAAUGCAUUGUGGAUAAGAUAGGGGUGAUGUGGUCAUAUCUUCUGGCUCUAGUAAGGACUCUCGCUGCUGCAUUCUGGACUAACUGGAGCUUGUUUAUGCAUCUACUAGCUUUUGUCACCUGCAUCUGUGUCUGUAUCCACAAGCAGCAGCUAUGCUUUUAAGCCCUUGUGCAGGAGCAGGCUGAGAGCCGGUGGGCACUCCAGAGGCUGCUGCAGCCCACCACAUCUUCAGCUGUGUCCCCUGCCACUGUGCGACAUGCGAUGCUCAUGAAGAUGGCCUCUAUGGAUGUUCUGGGGGCCUUCUUGGGUCUUUUUGAUUGUGUGGCAGUUGCGUGGGAAUGACCUCUGCAAUGAAAUGGGUGGUGGUUGUUCCCAGCCUCAUUUUGAGGACAAAUUGGCUGGGGUUUAGGAAUAAUUGUGCUAAAAUUUAUGGUGGUGGAUGGCUUCUAACGCAGUGUAGGAAGGUGUAGGGUAUGUGCAGCUCUGGCUGGUGGUGCCGGGGCCAUCAACGUCUGUGCUGUGUCAUGAUGACUUGGAGGAGGGGGAGAGCUCCGUCCCCUACCCGCCUACGUGGUUUCCCCUUAGGGACUUCUCUUUGGAACAGAAGCGUGACAAGUCUCUUUGCCAUGCCUUUGACCAAGUGAGAGUAAUCGAUGGUCAGAUCUACUAAUCUACCCCUAUUUUUCAGUUAUUAAAGAUAGCUUAUAUAUCAAGUGAUACAGGACACUUAAACUAUCGAAAAAAACAAGUUAAAUGUUAGUACCGAAGAGCCGUCGGGAAAUGCUAUUUCAGACAGCUCAUAAUAAUCCCAUGGCUGGGCAUCUAGGACACGAUAAAACACUCAACCAUCUAAUGACUAGUUUUUAUUGGCCGGGCAUUCGUGGCGGUGUACAGAGGUGUACUGUAUGCAGCCUGUCAUGAACGUCAUCUGAUGAAUCCGCUGGCCACCCCAAAAGUCCCAUUGUGCCCUUUUCUCUUAAUCGAGGUCCCCUUCAAAGGAAUUGGUAUGGAUCUCGUCGGGCCAUUACAGUGGUGCAUGCGAGGGAAUCGCUUUGUGUUAGUCAUAGUGGAUUAUGCAACACGAUAUCCAGAAGCAAUGCCUAAUCGCAACAUCUCAGCAUGUAGUGUUGCAGAUGCACUCUUACACGUAAUCUCCCGAGUCAGAAUACCGAAAGAGAUCCUGACUGAUCAGGGUAUGUCCUUUAUGUCACGCACUCUUUGCAAACUGUACAUAUUAUUAGGGAUUAAAUUGAUUUGCACCAGCGUUUACCAUCUGCAAACAGAUGGGCUGGUCAAACGGUUCAAUCCAAAGCUUGAAAAUAUCUGUUCUGCACCUGAGAGAACACUCCACACUUUAAAUCGCCUAACCUAGGAGAAUUUGCAUCACACCCAAGAAUGACAGUACCGACUGUACAACAUGGGUACUCAGCUAUGGGAAUCUGCACUGGGAGAUACUAUGUUUUACUACCCAUGUCGAGCUCUAAAUUACUCGUGACGUGGCAAGGUCACACGACAAGACAGAGAAGUCGACUAUGAGGUAAGGUGAAUGGGUAGAUGCUAUGCACGUGAAAUACAACACCUCCUGAAGCCGUGGAGAGAAGCAGUUCCUGUGGCUCUGGUGAUGAUGGUUCCUAAGAGGGAGGAGCUGGGACUGAGGAGGGGAGCUGGUAAGUCUCAAAAUGUGGCCCAAUUCACCCCUGUCCCUUCAUUAGGCCACCUCUCACCAUUCCAGAGAGCAUUCUCCUGACUUUUUCUCCUUUUUCUGCAGACUGAUGAUUGGACAGAGGGCUGUUGGCUGUUUUGUCCUAGGUGGUAUUGGGGAAGGAGCUGUACAUCAGUCGGAAGCUUCCAGUAAGGAAGCUUCAAUCGAGAAAGAGUGUCUUUCCAUCAAGUGGGCAUUCCUCACCCUACAGUAUUACCUACUGGGGAGCUCCUUUACUCUCUGUUCUGAUUAGGUCCAGCUCCAAUGACUCCAUGAGCCCCGAGCUCUGCUGAUAUUCCACCUGCCUCCCGAAUCUUUCUCUGCACACACACACACACACACACACACCAGGGUUCUACAAUCAUAUUUAAAGCAUAUGUACGUGUCACAACUGUAAUUCUGAAUAUUUUAAAUUAAGUGGUUAGAAAAUUGGAAAGUGUACAUUAAGGCUGCAAAAAUUAAUAUUUUAAUAAUUGAUUAUUUGUAUAAAUUAAUUGACAAAUAUUUGAUCAAUUGGCUUAAAAAUGGUUUGUAAAUGAGAACUGCUGUAACAAACUGCUGUAUCAUUUGGCAUUUUUGUUUAUUGUUUUUUCAAUAAUAUAAUGUAAAAAUAUAACUGUGAGGAGCAACUUAACAUUUAACCUCUUGUUACUCUACUGACUUUCUCCUCUAGGGGUAAUCUUAGAAAAAAGAAACUUGCAAAAUGUAGAUUUAAAUGGAUCUUUCUUGCUAUCUAUUUAUCUAAACUGUAUUAAAUUGCAUAUACAUGUAACAAAUUCCAACACUAAUGAGGAUGGAUAGGAGAGUCUUCUGGUUGACUGUGAUGAAGGUUUCUGAAAGAUCAAGGAGUAUGAGGACUGAUGACAGUUUGGCUGAUCUAGUGGUAUGAAGCUUCCCAGUAAUGGCCACAAGAGCAGCUUCUGUGGAUUAUGCCUCUUGGAAGCUAUUGCUCUGGGUCAGAAAGACACAUCAACACAAGAAAACAUGAGGAAACAGAGAAGCGUACUCCAAGCCUUACUUGUCACCUGACAGAAUCACAAACCUGAGCAUUUGUAGCUUUGAGAUUUUGGUUUUACAAACUCAAGUUGCCACAUCUUCCUAGCAUUGUUAAAAGGUUUCUACUGAUAUGUUAGUCCAACCUGCUGAUAGACAGUGUGCAUUUAAAAAUGUAGUACACGCGGUCUGUUGUAUGUAAAAAAAAAAAUUAAAAAAAAACUUCAUAAAGAUAUAAUAAAGAUAAGUGGUUAUGUCACUAGCUAUUGUAAAUGCAUGUAAUCCAAAAGCAGUGUGUCAGACAAGAACAAAGACACAAUUUUUUAAUGUUGCUCAGACAUCUCAGUAGAAAUCAUUAUAUGUUGUGUAAUACAUCAUUAGAUAACACACCACUUUCUUCCGUAAGUUGUUUAACUGCACCUAUGCAGUCUGUACUGUACACACACUAUAGCUUCCAUCUCAGGUGUAAAACCAGCAAUGUAACCUAGAAAUCAAUAGCUAUACUUAUUCUUGUGAACAGGAAAUGAAUGACUGUUAUAACUCAGUGUUACAAGAUGAUUUAUCAUCAGGCUGUGACAUAAAAGGGAAAUGACAACACAAUUAAAUGGACAAGAUAAACAACCUAAACAAAUAAAUCAGCCUGGGAUAUUACACCUUCUAGUCAGCAGAGGUCACUCUCACCUGAGUAUUAGGGGAGAUUAGUAUUAGGAAUGGCCAACAUUCAUCUCUCCAACUGUCCUGAAGCUGCAGGGCUCUUUUUUGUGGAACAAAGGAGAGAAACAUGCUGAGACUUGACUGCAGUAACAGUGAAGUACAGGUAUCCAUGACCUAUGGUUCCAUCAGCUCUCAAACAGUUGAGAAGUGUUAACUAGGAAGUGCAUCCAAUUAUAACAUGUCACAGAGGGGAUGAGUGACAGCCUUCAUUACUACUUUCAGGCACUACAAAUGCAUGGCAAUGUUCCAUGGUCUGGUCAGUGCCCCUUCCCUCAUCCAGGCUUUUGUGAAUUCGUUAACCAUUUUGGCAUUGUAUAUGACUUUAUGAUCUUCUUAUCCUCUGAUCAAGAAUAUAAAAAUCAUGUAUCAAAGUGGAGAAAUGUGAAUUCUUCCAGGCCUCAGUUAAAUACCUCAGUUAUACCAUAGACACUCAGGGAGUGGAGAUGGACCAAACAAAGGUAGAAGCAGUAACUUCGUGGCCACAACCUUAAAAAAUUAUUUGGUUUUGAUCCUCACUGAUCAUACAAACCUUGAAUGCAUCAAAUACGCAAAGAGAGAAUCCAUGAAUCCUGAAUCUGAACUUGUGAACUUCUCAGGCUGGGGUCCAAAAACACCAAAGCUGAAGCCUUGUUGAGACUCUGUGAUGGCCUCCAUUCACAUGAUAUCAAGUAUUAAAGAUUAAGGGAUUAAAGAGACAAUAUGAUUAAAGCAAUUUAAAGCUGAGCUCCUUAAAGCUCACAGAUAAGCAUGAUAGUAAUACAUUUUGCAAUUGCAAGAACCAGCAUGGUAAUUUCCUAACAAGAUUCAGUAAGUCAAUCAAUAAUAUUUUUUCAGGUGGACUAUUUUCUAUUUAGAGUACUUCCAUACCUACAAUGCUUUACAAUGUUUAGUGCAGUCAGACAAGAGUAAAAGCUACCAGCAACAAAUUGUUUUGAGAGAGUAGAAUCUAGAUUAAAAGGGUACUACACAUUAAAUGCACUAAUCUAUAGUACUAUUUUACUACCAGCUUUAUCUCAUCUUAAUCUUAACACUUACUUUGUACUUAUAUUCCAUUUUACGGAUAUACACGGUGUGCUUUGCAAUUAAUGACUGUAACUUAUCUGUUGCUCUGUAAUAUUUGUCACCCUCCUUCUACCUGUCCACCAGUGGAAAAGGACCACCAUAGGACAAAUGUUGACAAGAUAUUAUUUGGAUGGACCUUUCUUCACACAGCAGUGACACUGACAUGGUGGUGGAAUUUUAGUGUGUGUGGCACCGGUACAAGUGAAUCUAAGAUUUUUAACACCUCAGUGUUAUGGCUGAGCUGAGAAUCAGUCCAUAAACAAAAAUAUCCAGGUAGCUUUACCUGGUAAAAUGCCCAGUGAAUGUAGGUACAAGGUUCAGGUACCUAAUAAACUGGUCACGGGGUGCAAGUAUGAUUUUCUUUGAAAGUUUAAAUCAAUUUGUUUAAUGAGUGUAUGGGAGCAAGAUGUUUCUGUAUGACUGCAGAGUAAAAGGUGUGUGCAUCUGGUAGGGAGGUGUUUGUGUGGUAGCAUUUCAGCUGCCUACAAGCCACAUACAUUAGAUCUGCAAAACUACAUGCACACAGACAUAUAUACCCCUCUCUGUAUUACCUACAAUCAUUUUACUCAUACAAAAGGGUCUAAGAGUGCAUGUAGUCAUUCUUUCACAAAGUUUAAAUUGAUAUUACACCUAUUCAAAACCGAUGUUAUUAAUAGUAGUAGUGGUAUUUAUGUACUUCUUUUAUUUAUACACUGAAACACAGAAAAGAAAGAAACUUAUCCAAGAAAGAAAGAAAAGUGAAGGAAAGAAAGACCACUGAAUCACUUUUCAGGUUUCCUCAUGGUGUGUUCUUCCAGUGGCUUUAGCAGACAGGGUCCUUUCUGAGGCUUCAGUUGCUCUGUUGGGAUACUGCUUUAGACCGUGGAGUGAUCAUGUAUUUCCCAUAUACUAUAAUGCCAUAUAUAACAUUUUAUGACGGUGGUCCUACCAUUCAUCUUCAUGGUUAUUAUGAAUUGAUGGUCAUCAUUCCACUUGUCGCUGGUGUGUGUGUCAACCUGCUAGCUCUGAUUUGGACUUUUCGUGUUUUUUACACAGUCCGCAAACAUGGAGGCAGAAUUUCAGCCUUCAUCAUCCUCCUCAUCAUUAAUGACUUGGCUGAGCAGCUCCUGAGUGCAAUUAUAGUGUCAUAUUUAAUCCCUCAAAUAGACAGCCUUAUGAAGUCAAAGUAUUUAAAAGAUUUCAUUGAGUUAAGAUAUAUAACCUUUAACUGGAUUAAUUACAGGGUUCUUAUUUAUUUACGGUUUGCAUUUACAUAUGGUGGUCUUUACCUCCACCUGCUUGUGGCACUGGAGAGCAUGCUUUCUCUCAGAAACCAGCUCGGGUCUGCUCAUGUUUUCUCUCCACUCUGCUCCACCAUCUCCUGCAUCAUUCUGUGGCUGCUUGCCUAUGGAUGUCAGUUUUUAAAUAUUUAUUUGAAUUUGGUUUUUAGCGUAUUGCCUUGUUGCUUUUUACCCAUCAUAUGCAGACUCGCUCGCAAAGCCUCUCCUGCACCUGACCACAUCAAGCCUGGCUCAGCAGUGCUGAUUAUUUCCACACUCACACUUAUCACUUUCUGUGCACCAGCUGUCCUUGUGCUUGCCUUCUAUAUUGCCAAUGGUGAAUUUUACAUUUAUAACCCAUUUUCAGCAAUCUCAGUUUUUUUGAUAAGUUUGAGAGUCAUCUCAGACCCCCUACUAUGUGUGCUGGUCUGUAAGGAGCAGCUCAGGGUUCAUAAGCAGCAAACACACACAGAGAUGAACACUGAACAGACAUCAGUUUGAGCUGAAGCCCUGAGUGCUACCUGAAGAUAUCAGAAGAUGAUUAAAAAAAAAAGUCCUUAUGGUUGCAAUUGUCAGGCAGUUGUGGAUAAAAUGGCAGUUUGUAAAUGAAAACAUAUGCUAAAAAUCUACUGCAUGUCAAGCAACAGCAACACCAGGAAACAAUCUCUUUUUUGUAAUUGUGACUGUCAUAGUCUAUAUAUAUAUUAUAUAUAUAUAUAUAGAUAGUUGCACCAGUCAAACCUAAGCUCUCUUAUAGCCUAGUUUGAAUGUAAAUUGCCAGUAUGUUUAAAAACUCCUGCACCAAAUAGCAUAAUAUCAACAUAGCCUUAUGUUAUAACUUAAAAUGAUGCAUGGCUUACUCACUAAAAUACAGAAAUGAUCAAAGAAUUAUGAAUUAUGUAUCUUUUUAGCAGCCUAAAACUGAGACUGCUGGCUAGAUCCCUCACAGAUUACUUUUUUUUUUUUUUUUUUACUUUAUUUAAUUUUUUUUUAACUUUUUUAACUUCACUAAUAAUGUAACUUUACCUUUUUCUGUCAUUCAGUAUAUAAAGAUGCAGAUAAUUAUGUUAAAUUUAAAUUACCUUUGAUUAUUUGCUAUUGUUUCUUACUAAAAUGCUGUUAAAUUUCUUGCAUAAAAUCCCAGGAAAGAUGGAUGAUCUGAGAAAUUACUUUAUUGUAAAGCACAAUCCUUUUGAAAUUUAUUCAUUUAUCUACAAUCAAAAUGUGCCUCGAUAGAUAGACCAUGUUUGUAUAUAAUAUGUUACACUGAUAAAGACAGACACUGUAUCACUGUUCAGAUCACUGAUGUACUAUUUCCUACUAAUAUGUGGUAAUGGUGAAGUUAGCACCCCAUGAAAUUAAAUAAUCACCAAAACUAUGCCAUUCGUUUGUGCUACGUUUGUGCAGAUUUGUGCCAUAGAAAGAAACAUCAUAACUUAUUCCCAUCCUUAGACAUUACAAAAUUUCUGGCGGAGCAGUGACGUCACGCAAGCCGCUCUCUAUCCAUCUCAUCCACAUACCUGUCUCUUUCGCUUGUGCUCGCGCAAUGCUGCUUUGUUACCAUUGCUGUCUUGUUUUUUUUUUUUUUUUGAUAUGGAAUUUUGUGUUUUAGAUUUGUACCAGAUAUUGUCAUAUAAUAAUGUACUGUACUGUAACUACUCUAGCUGUACUACUACUGU